GUCUCCUUACAAUGCUGGAGACGCAGCGUCACUUCUCCACAAACAAAAUUCUCACUGACUUGAGUCGUUGCGUUCUUCCGCAAUGAAAAGGGUGAUCUUGGUCUUGUGCAUCAUUGCACUAUCUUCCUGUUUUCCACUCUCUGAUGAGCGGAACAGACGAGUCAAGCGCUCAGACGAGAGCGACGAGGUGAG